AUUGAACGCUGGCGGCAGGCCUAACACAUGCAAGUCGGGCGAGCGGUGGACGGGUGAGCAAUGUAUGGGGAUCUGCCUGAUGGAGGGGGAUAACUACUGGACACGGUAGCUAAUACCGCAUACCAUCAGAUGAACCGAUGUGGGAUUAGCUAGUGGGUGAGGUAACGGCUUACCAAGGCGACGAUCCGUAGCUGGUCUGAGAGGAUGAUCAGCCACACUGGGACUGAGACACGGCCCAGACUCCUACGGGAGGCAGCAGUGGGGAAUAUUGCACAAUGGGCGAAAGCCUGAUGCAGCCAUGCCGCGGGUAUGAAGAAGGCCUUCGGGUUGUAAAGUACUUUAAGUCGGGAGGCGUUACCGACAGAAUAAGCACCGGCUAACUCCGUGCCAGCCGCCGCGGUAAUUC
rnacentral:rRNA from 1 species